GACCCUGGUCUGCACUCUAUCUGUAAACUUACUGAAGGGAGAGCAGGGCAGGGUUUC
rnacentral:pre_miRNA from 1 species